AUUGAACGCUGGCGGCAGGCUUUACACAUGCAAGUCGAACGGUAACAGGUUAAGCUGACGAGUGGCGAACGGGUGAGUCAUGCAUCGGAACGUGCCCGGUCGUGGGGGAUAACGCAGAGAAAGCUGUGCUGAUACCGCAUACGAACUACGGAUGAAAGCGGGGGACCGUAAGGCCUCGCGCCCUCGGAGCGGCCGAUGUCAGAUUAGGUAGUUGGUGGGGUAAAGGCUCACCAAGCCAACGAUCUGUAGCUGGUCUGAGAGGACGACCAGCCACACUGGGACUGAGACACGGCCCAGACUCCUACGGGAGGCAGCAGUGGGGAAUUUUGGACAAUGGGCGAAAGCCUGAUCCAGCAAUGCCGCGUGCAGGAAGAAGGCCUUCGGGUUGUAAACUGCUUUUGGACGGAGCGAAAAGGUCUCCUCUAAUACAUGGGGCUCAUGACGGUACCGUAAGAAUAAGCACCGGCUAACUACGUGCCAGCCGCCGCCGUAA
rnacentral:rRNA from 1 species